UCUACCCUUGGAACAUAACGAAGAUCUGAUCUAAUAUAUGCUCCUCUUCAUAGACUAUGGGAGGGUUAUGUUCCAGGGUCUUCGUUAUGUUCCAAGGGUAGAUUAUGAUCUAUGGACUCCUCAUCCCGAUCAUGCAACAAAUCCCGUACGUUUGGGUAAUAAUCGAUGUUAUCAUAAUAUAAAUUGUCAUCAUCUUCUGAGACUGCACCAUCAUUUAAAGCAGCAAGAGCUGCCUCAAUUUCCUUUUCAGAUAGCGAGCCAAACAUGCUGAAAAGAAAAGCCAAAUAAACAAACCAUAGAACAAUUUUACGGCAUACAAACGCAUGGUGUAGACAUUUGGCUACAUACUGUUAAUUUUCAAAAAUAUACUUUUUUUUCGUACUAAGAUUUUUUUUAUUAUUUUUCCCCUUAUCUGUGACUAAAAAUCCAAUUGAAAUAUUUUUUUCAUAACUAAAUAAAAAAUCAUGCAUUUAAGGGUUAAUAUGAAAGGAAUAAGCGUCGACAAACAUCACGUGCGGGUACAAGUCGCCAAUUUGAGUUCUUUUUCUAUUAUUAUAAACCGCUUAUUCAGUCUGUUAUAAUAGAACUGUUUUGCAUUACAACAAAACAGUUAUUAUGUGUAGAAUAAAACACAGCGUUCUGUUGAGAGAGCUGUCUAUGAUCUUUGCCUUAUUUUAGUCUAUGGUAUAAGAAAACUUACCAAUUGUCUCUGCUUUAUCAUCUAGUUUACCUUCUUCAUACACCAGCUGGCACCACUUUCUAUGGAAAUUGGUGAUCUGUCAACUUGACAUUUCAUAGUCGUCCAACACCAGCAAGCACUUGCUGGAACGCUGUGUUUUAUUCUACACAUAAUAACUGUUUUGUUGUAAUGCAAAACAGUUCUAUUAUGUGCCUUAAUAAAACACAGCGUUCUGUUGAGACCUGUUUGUUAUCUGCUGGUGUCAAGCACAAACGCUAUGUGAUAUAAAAUGUAUUAAGAAUGAAAGAAUAUAAAGAAGUUUAAUAUCACAAUACAAAAUAAUACAUUAAACAACUUAUUGUACUCUCUGAGAAGCAGACGAACCAAUAAGAAACUUAUUAAACAAAUAACCAGUCUUUAGGUUAAAUAACUCAAAUUAUUUAGGACAUCUCCUUGAGAUCAACAUUAUGUCAUUAACUUCUUAUCAACCAAUAAAAUCAUUCUGGUACUUAUGGUCUCUGCAGUAAUAUUUCAUAAAGGUAUACAUACCCCCACCUCCAAUUAAAUAUUGGGGGUCUUAUCAACUACUCUCUUGUCCAGCCAGUAUCUGGAUGUUACUGCAGACCAAACACUUCAUGGAGAAGCAAAUAUUCACUGCACUUCUUGGAGAAGUAAUUAUUCACUAAAAAUGAUCUUAAUCCAAUUUGUAAUAUUUGACCUGGAAAACAGGCGUUAUCAUAUUGUUUAUGGAAAUAAACAAAUUUCACACAUAACUCUGGGGUCUCCAUUAAAAUGAAGUCUUUAUCAGCUCACUAAUAUGAAACUACAGGACAUAAUUAUGCGUUCAUCUGGGUGCUUAGCAGUCAGAGACAGUCUGUAGGUGGUUGAAUCAGAUUCAGAUCCAAAUAUCAGCCAAAAUGCUGACGUCAUGUCUAUAGCGGGGAGGUUCUGGGCCCCCCCCCGCAAAACAACCCUAGAUACGCCAAUGUCACAAUGUGAUCAUAUUCUGAUACUUCAACAAAGUAAUCCUGUAAUGUGUCCAAAGAAAUGAGAUCAUGGAUUCUUCGAUCUGAAGCAAGAAGAAGAAUGAGAGCUGUUUAUCAAGUAAAAUUCAAUGCUAGAAGAAAAUCCAGCAGCCGGCAACCAGUCAAAUUAAUUCCAGUAAUUUAAUACUAAAGACCGGUGAUCUCGGUGUACUUGGCCUUGCAAGUGAAAUGGCCUUAAGGAACUGAUGUACAAAAGGUAAAGGUAGAUACAACUGACCUAAGUAUCAGUUUUGUACUGCAAGUUUUUGCUGUAAAAACAGCUUGGCUAACAGCAGCGCUAUAGUAACGGCGUAAAACAUCUUUCAUCUUCGAAUCGGUAACCCAAAAAUCCUGGGGGGCACCAGACCAGACCAUUCUGGGGUGCCAUAGCCCCCGGGGGGGCGGAUAUAUAUGGGGGGUACGGACCGCCCCGCGCGCCAAGCCACGCUACGCCGCCACUGGCUACCACAUCACUACCAGUUGGUAACUUGUGGUCAAUGCUGUGAGAUUGACCCACAUAAUGCAUCUUAUGAUUGCUCCUUCCACCACCAAUUUUAAAUUUUGGAGAGAUAACUUAUCUACUUGUUGUAGACUAGGGUCUCUAACAGAUCCUUUAUUAGCACUGGGGCCGAUGUUAUUAGAAUGUAUGUUCCGUCUGCCAUUCAAGUAUGGUAACGUCUGUAGCUGGGAGGUGAAAACACUCAUCCAGCUGAUAAUCCCAGAGACGGCUGAAGGGCGUCAUAAAGAAUCAGAGUUCUGAUCUAUUUGCCUUAAUGUGGUACAAAAGAUGGAUAAUACUAUUUAUUAGCUAAUUUUCAAUUAUAAUUUUACUUGUUUAUUUAAGGAACACAAACAGUAUAAUUUUAUUUAAUAUUUAACAUCCAUCUUUUGAGUCCAGUGUAACAUAGUUAAUACUACUGCCGUGGCCCUGGAAGCCAAUAAGUCUAUUUUGGGACACCCCUACAUAAUGAAUAUAGCCUCUGUGGCCGGGGGUACUAAUGGAUUCUAACUGGAACAAACAAGUCUCUGUCUGCGACUCCCCAUACACUGAGUAUGGCCUCCGCGGCCUGGGGUACUAAUAUAUUCUAAAUGGAAGCAAACAAGUCUCUGUCUGGGACUCCCCAUACACUGAGUAUGGCCUCCGCGGCCUGGGGUACUAAUAGAUUCCACCUGGGUACUACUCGACCCUUUGAUGUUACAGGUGGUCUGGGAUACCGUGCCUAUGGCCCGGUCUGCAAUCCCAUCUCCUGGUAGAUAACAAGCCGACAGCGUCAUGUCGAGCUGUUCGGUCAAGUUCAUGAGCUUGGUGGUCAAUUUGAGGAGGGCCCGUGAUCGAGUACCUCCUUCGUUUCUGACUGUGUCUGUGUCAGAAUGUGACCUUCAGGAGCUUGGUGGUCAAUUUGAGGAGGGCCCGUGAUCGAGUACCUCCUUCGUUUCUGACUGUGUCUGUGUCAGAAUGUGACCUUCAGGAGCUUGGUGGUCAAUUUGAGGAGGGCCCGUGAUCGAGUACCUCCUUCGUUUCUGACUGUGUCUGUGUCAGAAUGUGACCUUCAGGAGCUUGGUGGUUAAUUUGAGGAGGGCCCGUGAUCGAGUACCUCCUUGUAUCAGGAUGUGAACUUCAUUCAAUCGAUCCUGAUGACUUAAUGCUACAUCUCCAUCGCAUUGGAGUGUCAUCAUCACUAGUAAAAAUAUAUAUGUAUUUUUCAAAAGUAAAUGCCAACAUUACAUUUUAGGUGUGCGUUGUAACACUGACCUGUAAAAUUUUUGUAAAGUACUGUCUAUUUUCUUUCUCUGACCUUUAAUCUACUGUUAUAAUAAUAUUUUCGAAAAAAAAAAAUAAUAAUUAGCAACCCUAGUUGAACGCCCCACUACGCAUCCGCUGCGUCUGUGGACUUGGAAGUCUGCGACUUCUUUUCGCCGCAACGGCUUUGAACUAAAGUCUAUGGCGUCUAUUCCUCUUAAAAUCCUCUCAGAAACAGCUGUAUACUAUUGUGUAUUUAGUUGACAUUGACAGUUUAUAAUAUUGUAACUAAUUGUGGGUAUACAAAUAAUAAAUCAGUUAUGCUUUGACUUGA